rnacentral:tRNA from 1 species
GGCUUGUGGCUCCGUGGUAGAGCACAUGCCUUGUAUGCAUGAGGCACUGGGUUCGAUCCUCAGUACCA